UCCAAAGAGGGGUUAUUGGAAUUAUAGUUAUGGAUGCCCACGGCAUUCCAUUGAAAACAACCCUAAGUAGCUAUUCAUCAGUUCAGUAUGCAGGGUACCUUCAGCCGCUCACACAGGUAGCGCACAGCACAGUGAGAGAGAUCGAUCCCGAGGAUGCCCUGACUUUUCUUAGAAUUAGAACCCAGCAAUACGAAAUCAUCGUGACCCCAGAUAGGGGAAAUCAUCUGGUUGUUUUGCAGAAUCCAAAUGGAUAGACCUUCUGCUGGAUUAGAUCUUGCAUGAAUGAAACCGUACUUUAAAAAAUGCUCAAUCUUUCAUUGUUCCUUCCUGAAUUUACCAAUAUAUUCAGCCUGUCUUCACCAAAACUGUUUCUAGCACAGUUACUUAGUUUUUGUUUCUCAUUAUAUUUUCAAAGUGUGCUCUGGCAAGAUGUAAUGCGUACGUCAAGAUCCGACACGAGUCGCCGUGCUCAAUGUUUAACAUAAUAAAAAUGAAUUUGUGAAACCUG